UAGCAGUCGAGCGCAUGAAUUAUUUGAUUCUCUUCGGAGUUGACGAUAAUGGAAUGAGCGGCGGACGGGUGAGUAACACGUAGGCAACCUGCCUGUAAGACUGGGAUAACUCGUGGAAACGCGAGCUAAUACCGGAUAACACUUUUCAUCUCCUGAUGAGAAGUUGAAAGGCGGCUUUUGCUGUCACUUACAGAUGGGCCUGCGGCGCAUUAGCUAGUUGGUAAGGUAACGGCUUACCAAGGCGACGAUGCGUAGCCGACCUGAGAGGGUGAUCGGCCACACUGGGACUGAGACACGGCCCAGACUCCUACGGGAGGCAGCAGUAGGGAAUCUUCCGCAAUGGACGAAAGUCUGACGGAGCAACGCCGCGUGAGUGAUGAAGGUUUUCGGAUCGUAAAACUCUGUUGUUAGGGAAGAACAAGUACUAUAGUAACUGAUAGUACCUUGACGGUACCUAACCAGAAAGCCACGGCUAACUACGUGCCAGCAGCCGCGGUAAUACGUAGGUGGCAAGCGUUGUCCGGAAUUAUUGGGCGUAAAGCGCUCGCAGGCGGUUCUUUAAGUCUGAUGUGAAAUCUUACGGCUCAACCGUAAACGUGCAUUGGAAACUGGGGAACUUGAGUGCAGAAGAGGAGAGUGGAAUUCCACGUGUAGCGGUGAAAUGCGUAGAGAUGUGGAGGAACACCAGUGGCGAAAGCGACUCUCUGGUCUGUAACUGACGCUGAGGAGCGAAAGCGUGGGGAGCGAACAGGAUUAGAUACCCUGGUAGUCCACGCCGUAACGAUGAGUGCUAGUGUUAGGGGUUUCCGCCCCUUAGUGCUGAAGUUAACGCAUUAAGCACUCCGCCUGGGGAGUACGCCGCAAGGCUGAAACCUCAAAGAUUUGACGGGGGCCCGCCACAAGCGGUGGAGCAUG
rnacentral:rRNA from 1 species